rnacentral:rRNA from 1 species
GAUGAACGCUGGCGGCGUGCCUAAUACAUGCAAGUCGAGCGAACGGACGAGAAGCUUGCUUCUCUGAUGUUAGCGGCGGACGGGUGAGUAACACGUGGAUAACCUACCUAUAAGACUGGGAUAACUUCGGGAAACCGGAGCUAAUACCGGAUGAUAUUUUGAACCGCAUGGUUCAAAAGUGAAAGACGGUCUUGCUGUCACUUAUAGAUGGAUCCGCGCUGCAUUAGCUAGUUGGUAAGGUAACGGCUUACCAAGGCAACGAUGCAUAGCCGACCUGAGAGGGUGAUCGGCCACCCUGGAACUGAGACACGGUCCAGACUCCUACGGGAGGCCGCAGUAGGGAAUCUUCCGCCAUGGGCGAAAGCCUGACGGAGCAACGCCGCGUUAGUUAUGAAGGUCUUCGGAUCGUAAAACUCUGUUAUUAGGGAAGAACAUAUGUGUAAGUAACUGUGCACAUCUUUACGGUACCUAAUCAGAAAGCCACGGCUAACUACGUG